ensembl:snoRNA
CCAGCCCGGAGAGAAGUUGCAGGCUCAGCUGCUGUGUCGUAUGUGUGUCAGUAGGUGGCAGAGAGGGAGAAGCUAUGUCUAUUCUCAGUGUUCUGACCUAUGAGCAUCUGAAUAACUAGUAGCCUAACAUU